GGAGCCGUAGCGAAAGCGAGUUUUAACUGAGCGUUCAGUUACUUGACGUAGACCCGAAACCGGGCGACCUACCCAUGAGCAGGAUGAAGCGAAAGUAAAAUUUCGUGGAGGUCCGAACCCACGAGCGUUGAAAAGCUCGGGGAUGACUUGUGGGUAGCGGUGAAAUUCCAAUCGAGCCCGGAGAUAGCUGGUUCUCCCCGAAAUAGCUUUAGGGCUAGCCUCAAGGUGAGAGAUACGGAGGUAGAGCACUGAAUGUCCUAGGGGGUAUUGCACCUACCGAAGACUAUCAAACUCCGAAUGCCGUCAUCUUAUACUUGGGAGUCAGACUGUGGGUGAUAAGAUUCAUAGUCGAAAGGGCAACAGCCCAGAUCGUCAGCUAAGGUCCCUAAAUGUAAGUUAAGUGGUAAAGGAUGUGGGAUUGCACAGACAACCAGGAUGUUGGCUUAGAAGCAGCCACUCAUUCAAAGAGUGCGUAAUAGCUCACUGGUCGAGUGAUCCUGCGCCGAAGAUUUCCGGGGCUAAAACUUACUACCGAAGCUACGGCAUCAGUAAUGAUGGGUAGGGGAGCUUCCCAUACGGGUUGAAGCAUGACCGUAAGGACAUGUGGACAGUAUGGGAGUGAGAAUGUUGGCAUGAGUAGCGAGAUGUGGGUGAGAAUCCCACAGGCCGUAAACCCAAGGUUUCCAGGGGAAGGUUCGUCCGCCCUGGGUUAGUCGGGACCUAAGCUGAGGCCGAAAGGCGUAGGUGAUGGACAACAGGUUGAUAUUCCUGUACUACCGAUAACCGUUUGAGAGAAGGGAUGACACAGUAGGAUAAGCUAAGCACACUGUUGGUUAUGUGUGCCCAAGCAUUGAGGCAGUCAAAGUAGGCAAAUCCGCUUUGAUAAUGCUGGGAUGUGAUGGGGAGCGAAAUUUAGUAGCGAAGUAGCUGAUUUCACACUGUCAAGAAAAGUCUCUAUCGAGGUUAAAGGUACCCGUACCGCAAACCGACACAGGUGGGUGAGGAGAGUAUCCUAAGGCCAGCGAGAGAACUGUUGUUAAGGAACUCGGCAAAAUGACCCCGUAACUUAGGGAUAAGGGGUGCCACCAUCAGGUGGCCGCAGAGAAUAGGCCCAAGCGACUGUUUACCAAAAACAUAGGUUUCUGCUAAGUCGCAAGACGAUGUAUAGGAGCUGACGCCUGCCCGGUGCUGGAAGGUUAAGGGGAUCUGUUAGAGCAAUCGAAGCAGUGAACUUAAGCCCCAGUAAACGGCGGCCGUAACUAUAACGGUCCUAAGGUAGCGAAAUUCCUUGUCGGGUAAGUUCCGACCCGCACGAAAGGCGUAACGAUUUGGGCACUGUCUCAACAACAGACUCGGUGAAAUUGUAAUUCCGGUGAAGAUGCCGGAUACCUGCGACAGGACGGAAAGACCCCAUGGAGCUUUACUGUAGCUUGACAUUGGGUCUUGGUACUACAUGUACAGGAUAGGUGGGAGGCUUUGAAACCAGGACGCCAGUUUUGGCGGAGCCAUCCUUGGGAUACCACCCUUGUAGUACUGGG
rnacentral:rRNA from 1 species